UCUCUUCCUCUUCAUUCUCUUCUCCUUCCGACCGUGUCCGCCACCACCUCUCUUCCAUCCUCUCCGUCUCCGUCCUCUGUCCCUAUCUCCAUCUCCGUCGGCGUUCUUAGCUUCGCCGGACGUUCGCUGCAGCCACCAUCCGCAAGUCGCGCCGCCUGCCGUCCACCUACAGCCGACGUUUCUCUCUCUCUCUCUCUUCGUUUCUGCCACCGCCGGCAUCCUCUCCGUUCUCAUCUCGUGUUUCCGACGCCGACAGAACACAGAGGGGAGCGCCGUCGUCGCCGGAAGGGGGAAGGAAUACACGAGCCGUGAAGUGAAGCCGACCCGAGAACCCAUUUCCAAGCUGACCUGACCCGAGACCAUUUCCAGCCGAGCCGCGAGCCGCAAGCAAAUCCAGCCGAGCCGAGUAGCGAUCCGAGCCAAGCCGCGAGCCGCGAGUCGAGCCGCGAGCCGAGGCAAGCCGAAGACCAAGCCGAGUCAAGCCACGAGCCGAGCCGCGAGCCGAGACAAGCCGAAGAUCGAGCCGAGCCGAGCCGAGUUGAGCCGAGUUGUGAGCCGAGGCCAAGCCGAGCCGAGCCGAGAGUGAGCCGAGCCGUGAGCCGAGGCCAAGCCGAGCCGAGCCGAGAGUGAGCCGAGCCGAGCCGAGCCACCUAAGCCUUCCUCCCUCCACUUCGGGUCACGGUGAGUCUUCGGUAAGGAUUGUUUUGAUGAAUUCCCUAAUGUUACCACAUCCGAUUCGAGUUUGAAUGUUGGAAUAAGAUAUGGCCCUACUUUUCUCCCUUGAAGGUAGUAAGGAGUUGACGCUUAAGUUCUCGGAUCUCGCGGCAGGCUUGUUUGGAGAUAGCUUUCCUUUCCUUGGGUUGAUCCGUUGAGCGUGGAUUCGAUCGAGGGGCAUAACCGAGUAUUCAAAUUGGGAUUUUAUGUUGAUGGACCUUGAAGUUACGGUUCAGUAUGUAGUAAUCAUUGGUCUGGAUGUUGAUCAUGGAGUUUGGACGGGGAAGGACAGUGAG